rnacentral:rRNA from 1 species
CAACUCGCCUACACGAAGCUGGAAUCGCUAGUAAUCGCGGAUCAGCACGCCGCGGUGAAUACGUUCCCGGGCCUUGUACACACCGCCCGUCACACCAUGAGAGUCUGUAACACCCAAAGCCGGUGGGAUAACCUUUAUAGGAGUCAGCCGUCUAAGGUAGGACAGAUGAUUAGGGUGAAGUCGUAACAAGGUAAC